GAGUUUGAUCCUGGCUCAGAUUGAACGCUGGCGGCAUGCCUUACACAUGCAAGUCGAACGGCAGCACGGGAGCAAUCCUGGUGGCGAGUGGCGAACGGGUGAGUAAUAUAUCGGAACGUGCCCAGUCGUGGGGGAUAACGCAGCGAAAGCUGUGCUAAUACCGCAUACGAUCUCUGGAUGAAAGCGGGGGACUCGCAAGAGCCUCGCGCGAUUGGAGCGGCCGAUAUCAGAUUAGCUAGUUGGUGGGGUAAAGGCUCACCAAGGCGACGAUCUGUAGCUGGUCUGAGAGGACGACCAGCCACACUGGAACUGAGACACGGUCCAGACUCCUACGGGAGGCAGCAGUGGGGAAUUUUGGACAAUGGGCGCAAGCCUGAUCCAGCAAUGCCGCGUGCAGGAUGAAGGCCUUCGGGUUGUAAACUGCUUUUGUACGGAACGAAACGGUUCUCUCUAAUAAAGAGGGCUAAUGACGGUACCGUAAGAAUAAGCACCGGCUAACUACGUGCCAGCAGCCGCGGUAAUAC
rnacentral:rRNA from 1 species